AGGUGCGCUUCCUGGAGCAGCAGAACAAACUGCUGGAGACCAAGCUGCAGUUCUACCAGAACCGCGAGUGCUGCGAGAGCAACCUGGAGCCCCUGUUGCAGGGCUACAUGGCGACUCUGCGGCGGGAGGCUGAGUGCGUGGAGGCCGACAGUGGCAGGCUGGCCUCAGAGCUCAACUGCACGCAGGAGGCGCUGGAGGGCUACAAGAAGAAGUAUGAAGAAGAGCUGGCCCUCAGGGCCACAGCUGAGAAUGAGUUCAUGAUGCUGAAGAAGGAUGUAGGCUACACCUAUCUGCACGAGACGGACCUGGAGGCCAACGUGAGCCGCUGAAGGAGGAGUCAGUCUUCCUGCAGUCCCUCUACGGGGAGGAAAUCUGCCUCCUUCAAUCACAAAUCUCUGACACCUCCAUGGUGGUGAAGAUGGACAACAGCUGGGAGCUCAACAUGGACUUGGUUGUGGCUUAGAUCAAGGCUCAGUAUGAUGAUAUUGCCAGCUGCAGCCGGGUGGAGGCUGAGACCUGAUACCAAACCAAGGUAGUCUGGAGGG
rnacentral:lncRNA from 1 species